GACGAACGCUGGCGGCGUGCUUAACACAUGCAAGUCGAACGGAAAGGCCCUGCUUUUGUGGGGUGCUCGAGUGGCGAACGGGUGAGUAACACGUGAGUAACCUGCCCUUGACUUUGGGAUAACUUCAGGAAACUGGGGCUCAUACCGGAUAGGAGCUCCUGCUGCAUGGUGGGGGUUGGAAAGUUUCGGCGGUUGGGGAUGGACUCGCGGCUUAUCAGCUUGUUGGUGGGGUAGUGGCUUACCAAGGCUUUGACGGGUAGCCGGCCUGAGAGGGUGACCGGCCACAUUGGGACUGAGAUAAGGCCCAGACUCCUACGGGAGGCAGCAGAGGGGAAUAUUGCACAAUGGGCGGAAGCCUGAUGCAGCAACGCCGCGUGCGGGAUGACGGCCUUCGGGUUGUAAACCGCUUUCGCCUGUGACGAAGCGUGAGUGACGGUAAUGGGUAAAGAAGCACCGGCUAACUACGUG
rnacentral:rRNA from 1 species